rnacentral:misc_RNA from 1 species
GCAAACUUGGUCAUUUAGAGGAAGUAAAAGUCGUAACAAGGUUUCCGUAGGUGAACCUGCGGAAGGAUCAUUACAAAUCAGUUUGGGUGGGUUGGGGUUUGGUUGGGUGUGUGGGGGUUUGGAGGGAGAGUGGUUGGAUGGGUAUGUGGAUGCUUUUGUAUCUGCGAUCCAUGCAAUCUCUUCUCUUUGCUAUUCACUCUCCAACUAACUGACCCCGAUCUGCGCCCACAUUUGCGCUUGAAGUGUUUGACAGAGUAAUUGUGAUUAUACAAUGAGACAACUUUUAACAAUGGAUCUCUUGGCUCUUGCAUCGAUGAAGAACGCAGC